AAUGCAGAGUGAGGACCGUGGCCGAGGUAGCCGGCGUUCGGAUCCAGGACUGGGACCAGAGGCAGGAGACUAAUGGAAAAGGCAACUACUAAAUACGCGCAUGCGCGCCGCAGGAGCAUGCGCGCGGCGUCUGCGUCCGCCCACCGAGUCUGGUGCUGCCGGAGCGGUGCUAGUACUGCGCUGGUGCUAGUCCUGCGCUGGUGCUGUUGCGCAUGCGUGGGUACGGGUGCGGCAGUGGUCAACGUGUUGCGGGCUAUUUGGCAAUUAUCUGGUGUUUUCUGCGUGGGUCUCCAGGCCACAUCUAAUUUCAGUAAUCGAGAGGAAGGAGAACUGUGAAGUUCACUUCAUGCGUGCAAACCCUGGUUUCGUCACUUUGGAGCUGUGGGGCGUGGGACGAAUUGCUUCAUCUCUCUGAGACUCGGUUUCUUUAUUUCUCCAGUGGAGGAUAACAACCCCUAAGCAUUCAUUCUCACUGGGUUAUUUUGAGAUCUAACAAUCGUAUGAAAGGGCCCCAGAAUCCACAAGGCACAGUGGAUGGGGGUUUUUCGUUCUGCUGUUUUUGAAUGGAUGAAAAUUUAGUCUUCGACUCUACAAAAUACAGAGAAUAUUAAAUAUUUAUACUUGCAAGGGAUGGGGGAGGAAACAAGAGACUCCAUUUUCCAAAUAAAAUAAUCAGACUGGUCA